UUAUGUUUAAUUUAAAAUUACCUUUUAUUUUUCACAAGUUUUUCCAACACAUUGUGCAUUUUGGCAAGGUAGACUUUGAGAUAGUUCGCUUCAAGUUUCUUUAAAUUACAAACAGUAGAUACAGUAGGAUUAUUUUAAACCGAUUUCUUUAAAACAAAUGGCAAGUUAAGAUCCUUCGGUUUAAAACAGGCCUCCGCAAUUACAUUUUCCUGAUAGAAAAUUCAAGUCAUUUUAAAUAAUAGAAAAUUGUCUUUACAAAAUACCCCACAAUUAGAAUUUAUCAGCACUGUGAAAAUAAACGUCCAAUUUCCAGCAUCGAUUGGGUGCAAUUACACAUUUAGAAAAAUAACUCAUUUAAAAGGAAGGUCACUUGGUGAAGAAAAAUAAAUUUCCAAGAGGACUAGUUCUAAAAACAAAUGAUGAAAACAUUUUUUCUCAACAAAUAAUAAAAAAUUAUUUGUUACUCAUUCUUUGUAGUUUUUUCUUUUUUUUUUUUUUUCUUUUUUUUCCUCUAACGAUGAAAAUGAAUUAAGAAGACAUGUUACUGAGAUGUUUUUUUCCCAACAAAGAAUGAACAAAUUAUAAAAUAUUUUCCCAUUUUCCCUCCUCACCUAUUCUUUAAGACGUCAGAAAGGAAAAAUAAGCAGGACGCGUUUAGAUUGUAACUCAAGGCUCAGAGCACACAUUGAGAAAUCUUCAACAAUUUUAAAACAGUUUCUUUUUUCAUUCUUUUAGCCCAAAGUAACCUUGCCGUCUGGGAACAGUAACUUCGUGUAUCACCAUCUUCCAGAAGGAAACUAUAAAUAAUUGUUUACGUAAGGAACCAAACACUGAUGUUGAAGAGGGCAAAACAAUAAAAUUAAGGGUCAAUAAAUGAUACUGCAAUGUAUCUUGUGCCAUUCAAGAUAGGAAGUCCUUCAUGUAAAUGAGUAAGUCUUCCUGGAUGCAUAAAACUCCAUCCUUUCCUUGGUGAUUCAAUGGAGCAGUUGUACCUAAGAAAUUUACAUCCACCUCCUUGAAAAUCCUCUCCUACUUUGUUGAGUGCAAUGUUGAUUGUGAACGUAGAAGAGUCAUGAUGAGGUCUGAGCGAUCGUUGUCUGUCAGGGCUAUAUUUUACAACAAAAUUCAAUAAAGCGUAUCCCUUGGUAUAAUAACCAGCAAACACUUUUAAUGUUACUGGUGCAAUGAAUUCUCUGAUGAAGUGCAGCCAUUCGUUAUCCAGUCCAAUUUGCUUCAUAUGGAUAUCAUCAGUCGGGACGUUUUCAUAACCGCCAGAAAUACGGCUGUCUUGGUGUUUUCCACCAGACCAUUGUCCAAAAUGUUCCAUUUCUUCUACCAAUUCAUCACAAGCAGUGUCAGAAAAUAUGGGAAACCAAAAAACAUCUGGACAUGGCUGUUCUACUAUAUUAUCAGUGAAGAUCUUUGAAUAGUUAGGAUUGAUGUAGGUUUCCUUCCAGUCCACAGGAUUCUCAAAUAUCUGCCAGAGGUCAUUGUUGUAGUGGGAGGUAUUAUAAUUGGCUGUGGAGAUAAGCCUUCCAAAUUCAUGUCUGUUCGUAAUGUACAUGAAAACACCCAUUUCCCUGGCAUUCCUGCAGAGAGCCAUAUCAGGAUCCAGCUUAUCACGCAUGAAGUAGUUCUUCUCUUUCAUCUCUGAUCUGAGAGUUUGGCCCUUAAUCAAGUAUAUAUUAGCCAUAUAAGGUAUAUUCCAUACUCCUACUCUGUUCCCUUGGACAAUAUCAAUGUAAUCUUCUGAGCGAGCAUAGUAGCCAUCUGGGCUUAAAGCACCCCAGAAAUUGGACCAGAGCUUCCCAUGGCGAGUUACAAGCGGAGCAAUUAUCUUUCUGUUCUGUUCUAUCAAUAUCUUUAGAGUCUUUGGGUUUGUCAGUACAACAUCUGCGUCUAUGCUGAAGUAGUAUUCGCAUGCUUCAUCCUGGCGACAAAGGUCCAUUCCCAUGUUCCGGGCUUCUGCUUGACUCAGAUUUUCUUCAGGUCCAACAAUUUUUAUAUUUCUGAUAAUGUUCUUGGCUUUUUCCCAGAAUUUCUUGAUGUGCUUUUCAUGGUAAACCUCAUUAUUAUGAAUGAAGACACUGAGAGCCUCCUUUGGGUAAUCCAGAGUCAACAGUCUGUCUAAAAAUUUAGGUAGGAAGGGAGUGGGUUGUUCUAUGAAAACACCAAUUUUUACUCUGGGAUAUUCCGUUACUGUUGACAGGUCCAGCAUGUCUAAAUCACAAAUAUUGCAUCCAGUUUCCCGUGUCCAAGCAUUGGGGAUAUAGUUUCCCAAGUAAUUCAAGUAAAUUUUAGUUGGACCAUUUCCAAGAACAGUGAUCGGUAAUGUUUCGUACACAGAAUUCCUUGCUCUUACUUUCCCUUCUUCAAAAUUCAGAUGAACUUCAUCAACAGCUCCAUUUAAAGUCUGGAAAAUAGCACAUUUGUGGUCCAAAGUAAUGUUCAGGCGUUCCCUCGCCAAUGGGUCAACAUAGAUUUUGGUGUAAAACAGCUGGUCAUCGUCAUUAUCCUGCAGAUUCCAUUGCUGUACAAUACGAUUUAUAUACGGAGCAUAACCAAUAAAUCCUCCGGAGUUCAAGAAUCGUUUUCCACUCCGGACCACAGGAUACUUGUCAGCUAGCCUUUUAUCUGGCCAAAUUAGCCCAUCUGCUGCAAACACCACUUUAUGAUUCGUUUCCUGAAAUUUCUUUAGCAGUUCUUCAGGUCCUCCCGCAAAGAUAACAUCAUAGCAUUCAACAAACAUUACAAUCAAGUCCUCUUGAUCAGCAUAGCUCUGUAUGCCUUCUUUCAGCAGUCGGACUUUCUGCCCUCCACCAAUGGAGUUCGCCAACUCACCACCUUUCCACUCUUCACCUUUUCCAAGUACCUUCACUGUGUAGUUGAAGUGCUUUGCAGUUUGCAUGAAGCGAUGAAAGCCAUCGGUUUCUUUAGUUGCUACAGUAAAAACUAGGAGGUUAUCUGCGGGGCCGGGCCCGGAGCGCCGCUCCGCCGUCGCCAGCAGCGCCAAGGCCAGCAGCAGCGGCAGGAGGAGCCGCGGGGGCCGGGCGCCGUUCCACGCCAUCUUCCCCCUCCGCACCGCCGCCGCUCCCCACGCCGCCAGCCCCGAGGGCGGGGGUGGGAGAAAGGGGAAAAGCGCCGCCAGAAGCAGCCGGUGCCGCGCCCGGGAUGCCGCUCCUCCUCCGCGGCGGGCAGAGCGAAGGGCGCUGCCGCCCGCCCCAGGCUUUAUACGGCAGUGGGAGGACCCGGGCGGCGAGGGCGCCCGGCGGCGCAACAGGAGCCGCUCGUGGCCUCCGCGCCCGGGCGCACACCGCCGCCGC
rnacentral:lncRNA from 1 species